UCUGGACGUUUUUUGUUAUUAUGUUGAAAAGCAGCAAUAUAAAUAGUGUCCUCAAUGAGCUGUCGGAGCCGGUAGCCAAGGAACCCCAAGCUCAAUCCUCCUCCUCCAAUGGAAACUCGAAAGCAGCGACGGAAACCUGUUGCUCAUCCAAGGACCAGGAUGUUAUAGGCAGCCUUGCCGCUUUGCAAUUGUCCGCUGGCGUGCUGCAAAUAGCGCAGCCACCACUGGACCACGUACGCGUCCAGCUCAGGGAAUUGAUCGGAAGACAAAACAAGAUCUAUAUUGAUUUGUCCAAGGAGAAGUACAAACUGGACUGCAGCGAAGUCGCUAAACUUAAUGACAUGAUGAGCGAUGUGAGGCGCUACAAAGAUAAACUGGCAAAGAUCAAAAAAGAAAUGCAGGGAAUCUACCAGCGCACCAAGGACUUGAAGAAACGCGCCGCAAACGUGGCGGCCUGCAAGCAGCGCGACUACCAGCGGAAACUCGACAGGCAGCAGCACGAGGAGUCACUCAUUGGCGGUCAUUAGAGGCAGUCGGCGCCGCCUUUACAUUGGGAUUCGGACUCUGGGUAAUAACUAGCCAACAACUUAACACAGGCAAAAGUUGAACAAAAAGCUUCUGGAAAACAUUUCACUUUGUGGUACAUUUUUCGUGUAUAAUUAAGUAAAUACCUAGGAGAUUACGCGAACAAAAUGGCUACAUGCAACCGGAUCAAAGGAAGCUAC